UCUUGGCUGACAACCAGAAAGGAAACGGAGACCCCAGUUCUACAACCAAGGAAAACUGAACUUGGCCAACAACCUGAAUGGGCUUGGAUGCCAACUGAUCCCCAGGCUCUCCAGCAGGGAACAAAGCCCCACCAGCACUGUGACUAUAGCUUUGUGAAACUUUACGCAGGGAACCCAGCUGAACCACGCCUGGACUUCUGACCUGCAGAACUGUAAGAUAAGAAAUGGGUGUUGUUUUAAGCCUCUAGGUGGUAAUUCAUUACAGUAGCAAUAGAAUACCUAUACCCGGGGUGUAAACUGACCACUGCAAGGCAAUUUGAGCCACAUGGACUUCAAGGAGUGUGCCCCAGGCCACAGGCAGAGGGAACAAUAGCCGACUAUGGAAGAUGGCGGAGAAGGCUCUCUGAAGAAGGAGGAGUUUGUUUCAGCAGGACUUUGAAGGAACACUGUGUUAGGUCAGACUCCUCCCAGAAGCUUGCCCCGAAACAAGGAUUUUAGGGCAAGUGGUUGUUUUAGGUGAUAAUCCCAGGACAUACCAGCAGAGGAAUGAGAAGGUGUCCUUUUGAUGAUCCAUUCCCCUGAUGGGAGCAGAUAAAUCAGAAUGUGAAUGAACAAGGCUUCCACCACCCUCCGGCAUUUACAAAAUCUGCCCUAAAGACCUGACUGGCACAUAGAGCCAGGAUAAGGACAAGGAGCUUUUUUCCUGAUCAACAUUGUCAAAAGCAUGUCUGCUGUAAACACUUCUGCUCCUAUCGCCAAAUGGAAAUCCUUCAUUCCCCGGGAUGAAGGGGUACAGGGGUGGCAAGAAAUUUCAACUACCUACGAAGUCUCCAAAAGAGACAAAACGCACACUUUCCCAACUCUCCACCGAAAGCCUGUGCCUGUUACCUGAUGGGAGACGCUACAAAGCAGACCCGACCCGAACGCGGCCCACCUCAGGCUCCGCUAGUUUUAGUUCGAAAGAGCUCGACGCCUGCGCUUGCUUUCAAACUGAUCCAACAUGGCGCUGGCUUCCUCUUGGCCUUUUCUUAAUAGUUGUCACAAGACAGCUGCUGUAGUUCCAGAUGUCUUGCUUGCAUUCAGGGAUAGAAGGAGCAAUAAGAAAGACAGGGUCUGAUCCUAUUAAUAAAAAAGCAAAGGGGCGCCUGGGCAACUAGGUUAAGUGUCCAACUGGCUCAGGUC